UACGUAGGGUGCGAGCGUUGUCCGGAAUUAUUGGGCGUAAAGAGCUCGUAGGCGGUCUGUCGCGUCUGCUGUGAAAACCCGAGGCUCAACCUCGGGCCUGCAGUGGGUACGGGCAGACUAGAGUGCGGUAGGGGAGAAUGGAAUUCCUGGUGUAGCGGUGGAAUGCGCAGAUAUCGAGGAGGAACACCGGUGGCGAAGGCGGAUCUCUGGGCCAUAACUGACGCUGAGGAGCGAAAGCAUGGGGAGCGAACAGG
rnacentral:rRNA from 1 species